UAUACAUAUCUUGGAAUAUUGAGGCAUC
rnacentral:sRNA from 1 species